rnacentral:rRNA from 1 species
CACGAACGCUGGCGGCAGGCCUAACACAUGCAAGUCGAACGGGAUCUUCGGAUCUAGUGGCGGACGGGUGAGUAACGCGUGGGAACGUGCCCUUUGGUUCGGAAUAGCCCUGGGAAACUGGGAGUAAUACCGGAUGUGGUCGAGAGACGAAAGAUUUAUCGCCAAAGGAUCGGCCCGCGUUGGAUUAGGUAGUUGGUGGGGUAAUGGCCUACCAAGCCGACGAUCCAUAGCUGGUUUGAGAGGAUGAUCAGCCACACUGGGACUGAGACACGGCCCAGACUCAUACGGGAGGCAGCAGUGGGGAAUCUUAGACAAUGGGGGAAACCCUGAUCUAGCCAUGCCGCGUGAGCGAUGAAGGCCUUAGGGUUGUAAAGCUCUUUCGUGGGGGAAGAUAAUGACUGUACCCCAAGAAGAAGCCCCGGCUAACUCCGUGCCAGCCGCCGCCGUAAUAC